rnacentral:rRNA from 1 species
CCUACGGGAGGCAGCAGUGGGGAAUAUUGCGCAAUGGGCGAAAGCCUGACGCAGCGACGCCGCGUGAGGGAUGAAGGUCUUCGGAUCGUAAACCUCUGUCAGUAGGGAAGAACGGUCACUGUGCUAAUCAGCAGUGAAUUGACGGUACCUGCAAAGGAAGCACCGGCUAACUCCGUGCCAGCAGCCGCGGUAAUACGGAGGGUGCGAGCGUUAAUCGGAAUUACUGGGCGUAAAGCGCUCGUAGGCGGUAUGUCAAGUCAAGGGUGAAAUCCCCGCGCUCAACGUGGGAACUGCCUUUGAAACUGGCAAACUGGAGUGUGUGAGAGGAGAGUGGAAUUCCAGGUGUAGGGGUGAAAUGCGUAGAUAUCUGGAGGAACAUCAGUGGCGAAGGCGACUAUCUGGCACAUAACUGACGCUGAGGAGCGAAAGCGUGGGUAGCAAACAGGAUUAGAUACCCGUGUAGUC